rnacentral:rRNA from 1 species
GAUGAACGCUAGCUACAGGCUUAACACAUGCAAGUCGAGGGGCAGCGGUAUCGAAAGCUUGCUUUCGGUAGCCGGCGACCGGCGCACGGGUGAGUAACGCGUAUCGAACCUGCCUCAUACUCGGGAAUAGCCUUGCGAAAGUAAGAUUAAUGCCCGGUGUUUUCAGAGUCCCGCAUGAGGCUUUGAACAAAGAUUUAUCGGUAUGGGAUGGCGAUGCGUCCCAUUAGCUUGUUGGCGGGGUAACGGCCCACCAAGGCAUCGAUGGGUAGGGGUUCUGAGAGGAAGGUCCCCCACAUUGGAACUGAGACACGGUCCAAACUCCUACGGGAGGCAGCAGUGAGGAAUAUUGGUCAAUGGGCGGAAGCCUGAACCAGCCAAGUAGCGUGCAGGAAGACGGCCCUCCGGGUUGUAAACUGCUUUUAGUUGGGAAUAAAACGGGGCUCGUGAGCCCCCUUGCAUGUACCAUCAGAAAAAGGACCGGCUAAUUCCGUG